GACGAACGCUGGCGGCGUGCUUAACACAUGCAAGUCGAACGGUAAGGCCCUUCGGGGUACCCGAGUGGCGAACGGGUGAGUAACACGUGGGUAAUCUGCCCUGCACAUCGGGAUAAGCCUGGGAAACUGGGUCUAAUACCGAAUAGGACCACAGGACACAUGUCCUGUGGUGGAAAGCUUUUGCGGUGUGGGAUGGGCCCGCGGCCUAUCAGCUUGUUGGUGGGGUGAUGGCCUACCAAGGCGACGACGGGUAGCCGGCCUGAGAGGGUGUCCGGCCACACUGGGACUGAGAUACGGCCCAGACUCCUACGGGAGGCAGCAGUGGGGAAUAUUGCACAAUGGGCGAAAGCCUGAUGCAGCGACGCCGCGUGGGGGAUGACGGCCUUCGGGUUGUAAACCUCUUUCACCAUCGACGAAGGUCCGGGUGUUCUCGGGCUGACGGUAGGUGGAGAAGAAGCACCGGCCAACUACGUG
rnacentral:rRNA from 1 species